rnacentral:rRNA from 1 species
AGAGAGAACAUGCGCGCAUAUCAAUAAGCGGAGGAAAAGAAACUAACAAGGAUUCCCUUAGUAACGGCGAGUGAAGCGGGAAGAGCUCAAAUUUGAAAUCUUCAAGGUUUUACCUUGACGAAUUGUAGUUUAAAGAAGUGUUUUCUGCUGAAGUUUUGGUAAAAGUUCUUUGGAAUAGGACAUCAUAGAGGGUGAGAAUCCCGUAUUUGACCAUUAUUUUCAGCUUUGUGAUACACUUUCAAAGAGUCGGAUUGUUUGGGAAUGCAGUCCAAAAUGGGUGGUAAAUUUCAUCUAAAGCUAAAUAUUGGCGAGAGACCGAUAGCGAACAAGUACCGUGAGGGAAAGAUGAAAAGAACUUUGAAAAGAGAGUUAAACAGUACGUGAAAUUGUCAAAAGGGAAGCGUUUGACACCAGUGUUGUUUUCUCGAAAAUCAAUUAAAAAAGGCCGGAUUUUGUGUUGUAUUGACCUUAAAAGCUUUCUUCACUCUCUUCUUGUCUUUUUUAAUGCACUUUUCGUUUAACAAGUCAACAUCAGUUUCUUUUGUUGUAAAAGGGUCAUUGGAAGGUGGCUUUCUUUUCGGAGAAAGUGUUUAUAGCCUUUGGCCUCUGCAAUCGGAGAGACUGAGGUCUGCAGCGUAGACUCUUCGGGGUUAGAUACAUUUGUGCUAAGUUAUAGCUUUUUAUAGACAACUUGUUGACUAUAAUUAGUCUUGUAGCUUACUCGCUUAUGCUAUUUUACCUACGCUUAGGAUGUUGAAGUCAUCGUAUCGCGC